rnacentral:lncRNA from 1 species
GUGAGAUUCUUUGAUGGACCUCGCCCUUGCCUCACCACCGAUGAAGACUAACCUGAAACAAUAAUAAAUAAAUCAUUAGUAUGAUCCAAAUAAAAGAAUCAAAUUUUAUUAUAUAUAAAGUGUAAUAAUUAAUACCACUGAGACCCGCCUCACUGGGACCCAGCUCAUUGAGACCUACCAGUGCAGGACCCUCUAAUAGUGGAGCCAGUGUGGCAAUGG